AUACCUACCUGGUGCCGGGGCUACCUUGAUCAGCCAGGAGGUGCCUCCAGGAAGAGGCGUGGCCAGUGCACCUCAGCUGUGGUGACCCUUGCCAUUAUCCCAAACUGGGAGAGAUGGGGCAUGCAAUUCUCAGUAGUGGAAGUCUGCAUUCAC
rnacentral:snRNA from 1 species